rnacentral:rRNA from 1 species
UACGUAGGGUGCAAGCGUUAAUCGGAAUUACUGGGCGUAAAGCGUGCGUAGGCGGUUCGUUAAGUCUGUCGUGAAAGCCCUGGGCUCAACCUGGGAAUUGCGAUGGAUACUGGCGAGCUAGAGUACGGUAGAGGAUGGUGGAAUUCCCGGUGUAGCGGUGAAAUGCGUAGAGAUCGGGAGGAACACCCGUGGCGAAGGCGGCCAUCUGGACCAGUACUGACGCUGAGGCACGAAAGCGUGGGGAGCAAACAGG